rnacentral:rRNA from 1 species
UACGGGGGGAGCAAGCGUUGUUCGGAUUUACUGGGCGUAAAGGGCGCGUAGGCGGUCAGCACAAGUCAGUUGUGAAAUCUCCGAGCUUAACUCGGAAAGGUCAACUGAUACUGUGCGACUAGAGUGCGGAAGGGGCAACUGGAAUUCUUGGUGUAGCGGUGAAAUGCGUAGAUAUCGAGAGGAACACCUGCGGCGAAGGCGGGUUGCUGGGCUGACACUGACGCUGAGGCGCGAAAGCUAGGGGAGCGAACGGG